GAUGAACGCUGGCGGCGUGCUUAACACAUGCAAGUCGAACGAAGCACUUUAACUUGAUUUCUUCGGAAUGAUUGUUCUUGUGACUGAGUGGCGGACGGGUGAGUAACGCGUGGGUAACCUGCCUCAUACAGGGGGAUAACAGUUAGAAAUGACUGCUAAUACCGCAUAAGCGCACAGUGCCGCAUGGUACAGUGUGAAAAACUCCGGUGGUACGAGAUGGACCCGCGUCUGAUUAGCUAGUUGGUGAGGUAACGGCUCACCAAGGCGACGAUCAGUAGCCGACCUGAGAGGGUGACCGGCCACAUUGGGACUGAGACACGGCCCAAACUCCUACGGGAGGCAGCAGUGGGGAAUAUCGCACAAUGGGCGAAAGCCUGAUGCAGCGACGCCGCGUGAAUGAAGAAGUAUUUCGGUAUGUAAAGUUCUAUCAGCAGGGAAGAUAAUGACGGUACCUGACUAAGAAGCACCGGCUAAAUACGUGCCAGCCGCCGCCGUAAGAC
rnacentral:rRNA from 1 species